rnacentral:tRNA from 1 species
CAGGGAGACAACAAAAUGUUUAAUAUUAUUAUUUUGUCACCUUAGGUCGAUCGGUAUCUCACGUUCUUAAUUUAUUAAGGAUUUCAUUUCCUAAGUUUUUCUAGGUCACACCCAUUAUUUUUCCUGGGCCAUUAGCUCAGGUGGUUAGAACGCACCCCUGAUAAGGGUGAGGUCCCUGGUUCAAGUCCAGGAUGGCCCAUAUCUCUAUGUUGGGGGUAUAGCUCAGUUGGUAGAGCGCCUGCUUUGCAAGCAGGAUGUCAGCGGUUCGAGUCCGCUUACCUCCACUGAUUACCACCUCUUCCAUAAUCUGUAGAAAGGAAAUGUUUUGAGUUGUGAUCAAAUUCUGAACGAAUCUAGCUUCCUAAUGAAAUCAUUAAGAUGCUGGACUCAGUGAAUCAAUUUCAUUGUUUUCAGAGAACCUUGACAACUGCAUAGAUUAUUUUUGAAAAGACAAUAAGCAUCUUUAAUGAUGCAGAUUUAUUAUUUGUGCGAAUGCAUUAAUAACAAUUCUAUUAAGCUGAUGCUUCAUUUUUGAAGUUAUU